rnacentral:rRNA from 1 species
GCCUACCAUGGUGGUAACGGGUAACGGGGAAUUAGGGUUCGAUUCCGGAGAGGGAGCCUGAGAAACGGCUACCACAUCCAAGGAAGGCAGCAGGCGCGCAAAUUACCCAAUCCCGACACGGGGAGGUAGUGACGAUAAAUAACAAUACGGGGCUCUUUCGGGUCUCGUAAUUGGAAUGAGUACAAUUUAAAUCCCUUAACGAGGAACAAUUGGAGGGCAAGUCUGGUGCCAGCAGCCGCGGUAAUUCCAGCUCCAAUAGCGUAUAUUAAAGUUGUUGCAGUUAAAAAGCUCGUAGUUGAAUUUCGGGAUUGACACAUCGGUCGUGCCUUAAGGGGUAUGAACUGGUGUAGUCAGUUCCUCACCUUCUGGAGAACCGCGAUGUCCUUAAUUGGGUGCCGCGAGGAACCAGGACCUUUACUUUGAAAAAAUUAGAGUGUUUAAAGCAGGCAUUUUGCUUGAAUACAUUAGCAUGGAAUAAUAAAAUAGGACGGAUGGUUCUAUUUUGUUGGUUUCUAGGAUCACCGUAAUGAUUAAUAGGGAUAGUUGGGGGCAUUAGUAUUCAAUUGUCAGAGGUGAAAUUCUUGGAUUUAUUGAAGACUAACUACUGCGAAAGCAUUUGCCAAGGAUGUUUUCAUUAAUCAAGAACGAGAGUUAGGGGAUCGAAGACGAUCAGAUACCGUCGUAGUCUUAACCAUAAACUAUGCCGACUAGGAAUCAGACGAUGUUAAUUUUUUAAUGACUCGUUUGGCACCUUACG